rnacentral:misc_RNA from 1 species
AAGUCGUAACAAGGUAACCGUAGGUGAACCUGCGGUUGGAUCAUUAAUGAAGGCUUUUAUGCCAAACCAGCUUUUUUAAGCUGACCCACCUUGUGUGAACCGUUAAAAUGUUUUUAGGCGGAGAGGGUUUUUUAAGUUGGGGUUUGAAUACUUCUUCUUCUUUAAUCCAAAGUCUUUAAUUAGAUAACAUCUCCGCCUACUGCUAUUUUCUUGAAAAAGAAGAUGGCAAAACAAAAACAAACCUUUUAUUGUCUUUCAAAUUAUAAAUCUAAACAAAUUUUUUACAUUCUAAAAUAAAAUUUCGAAUGAAAAAACAACUUUUGGCAACGGAUCUCUUGGUUCUC